rnacentral:rRNA from 1 species
UACAGAGGGGGCAAGCGUUGUUCGGAAUUACUGGGCGUAAAGGGCGCGUAGGCGGCCUGUUAAGUCGAACGUGAAAUCCCCGGGCUCAACCCGGGAACUGCGUCCGAUACUGGCAGGCUUGAAUCCGGGAGAGGGAUGUGGAAUUCCAGGUGUAGCGGUGAAAUGCGUAGAUAUCUGGAGGAACACCGGUGGCGAAGGCGGCAUCCUGGACCGGUAUUGACGCUAAGGCGCGAAAGCCAGGGGAGCAAACGGG